GCAAAAAAUCACGAAGAAGAUCAUCUUUCCAGUACAGUACAACGAUGUGCCGCAUGAGAAUCCAAAUGCCCAAUCAACUCCGACAGGAACUGCAUCGUCCAAAGGCAAAGCUGAACCAACUGAUGUUGGACGGAGAUCAUCCAAAUCAUCUCAGUUCUCCGAAGAGCUGACGAGAAGCGAGCAUCAUGAUCUUGAAACGAUAGGUUCAACAUCAUCUGAGCCUGCAGACACAAAGG